ensembl:lncRNA
AUGUGGCUGUGGCGUAGGCUGGUAGCUGCAGAUGCAAUUCGCGACCCCUCGCCUGGGAACUUCCACAUGCUGUCCCUGAAAAAGCCUCCCUCCUCCCCCAAAAAAGAUUUUGGCUGUAAGCAUUGGAAACCAGCUCUGAUGAUCUCAGAGAAGAAGCAACACGCAGCCUCUCAGACCAGCCUCAGAUCUCAGAGAAGUCUGGAUGCAGCUCCGCUGAGAAUGGGGAGAAUUCACCUGUCUCGGGUGUGCCAAGGCUGCCUCGUCUUGCUUCUCAUCUUUUUCAGGAUAAGAGGAUCUUCUGGAGCAGGGCGCCUUCUGGACAUGCUACCCCCUCUCUCUGGACUCUUUCCCAGUUUAGUGGAUUGCCCCUUUCUUCUAGGAAGCCUUCCCGGAUUACCCCACCUGCAUCAUUUGCCUCUACUCUGCAGCCCCUCAUCAGGCACAGGUUCAGGUUGUCCUUGGAUAUGGCUCCGGCAUGUGGGUUCUAGGGCCCCCCGGCCAUGAUCCCUCUCAAGGACAGUCUCUUAGGAAUGUCCCCCAGCUCUCCCAGCUCAUCUGUACCAGCUCAGCCAAGGUCUCUGGGAAACUUGCUCUGCUCAGAAUCAUCUGCCCAGACCCCAGGGAAACAUUACUGAGAAGUAAAAUGUAAUAUAUUCGCAUCUCAUGGCUCUGGGAACAGGGAGAGACCCUGAAACCAGGGUCCUUUUGUUCAGAUUUGGGAAGCUGAGAUUGUCAGACUUGGAAAGAAGCAAAGGAAAUGCUUAACUCCAUGCUUUGCACUAAUUUUUAGAUACAAAAUCUUUUGUUUGCCACAAACAUUCCAAAAGACAACAGAUAAACUGCAGUGGCUUUGGCUGAAGAGGUAUAGGGAUAGGAGGUCCUGAGGCCUGAGAACAAGGGACUCCACACGAUGCAGGCCAAAGCCCUGAGCCUGUCCAACCCUUGCAUGAACGCUGAGGCCACAAAGGGGGCGACAUGCCUGAGCCAGUUACUAGCAAAGGAAAGAUUGCCCUUCCUAGGCUGGUGUCCUUUCCUUCUCUCCUGGCCUCCUCUGAGCAUCCUCAGAAGUCUCUGCCCCAGAGUCAUCUUUGGGCCUCCCUCCCUGCCCACCAGACACACCCCAAGAAGCCAGGUCUGGGUGGGGGGCAGAGCAUAGCCCUUGAAGCUGGGCCAGGCCAGUGGGCAGCGCUGGACAGUUGCUACCUCUUGACCUCAUCCAGCGCAUUAAACGGAGCCAUCCUGUUUGCCAGGCGGCCCAGGGCUUGGACUCACAAAGGGCGCCCAGACCAGUUCCUCUGCUGUCCUUGGACGAGCAUCUUCCUCCCUCCUUCCCUCCUCCCAGGAGCUUCAUGGUGACCUGGCUUCUCAGGUCCCUCUGCGUUCCCACUUUUCCAGUGUGAAGUUCUAUUAGCAUGCGGGCCCUGUGGCGGCUGGCUCCUCAUAUUAUUUGCACAGGUUAAGUAUUCCUGAUAAGGCUUCUCAAAUCGGAGGGCUGAAAUGAACU